rnacentral:rRNA from 1 species
AAAAGAAACCAACAGGGAUUGCCCCAGUAACGGCGAGUGAAGCGGCAACAGCUCAAAUUUGAAAUCUGGCCUCCGGGUCCGAGUUGUAAUUUGCAGAGGAUGCUUUUGGCGAGGUGCCUUCCGAGUUCCCUGGAACGGGACGCCAUAGAGGGUGAGAGCCCCGUCUGGUCGGACACCGAGCCUCUGUAAAGCUCCUUCGACGAGUCGAGUAGUUUGGGAAUGCUGCUCAAAAUGGGAGGUAUAUGUCUUCUAAAGCUAAAUAUUGGCCAGAGACCGAUAGCGCACAAGUAGAGUGAUCGAAAGAUGAAAAGCACUUUGAAAAGAGGGUUAAAAAGUACGUGAAAUUGUUGAAAGGGAAGCGCCUAUGACCAGACUUGGGCCCGGUGAAUCACCCAGCGUUCUCGCUGGUGCACUUUGCCGGGCACAGGCCAGCAUCAGUUUGGCGCGGGGGAUAAAGGUUUCGGGAAUGUGGCUCCCUCGGGAGUGUUAUAGCCCGUUGCGUAAUACCCUGCGCCGGACUGAGGUACGCGCAUUGCAAGGAUGCUGGCGUAAUGGUCAUCAGCGACCCGUCUUGAAACACGGACCAAGGAGUCGUCUUCGUAUGCGAGUGUUCGGGUGUCAAACCCCUACGCGUAAUGAAAGUGAACGUAGGUGAGAGCUUCGGCGCAUCACCGACCGAUCCUGAUGUUCUCGGAUGGAUUUGAGUAAGAGCAUACGGGGCCGGACCCGAAAGAAGGUGAACUAUGCCUGUAUAGGGUGAAGCCAGAGGAAACUCUGGUGGAGGCUCGCAGCGGUUCUGACGUGCGAAUCGAUCGUCAAAUAUGGGCAUGGGGGCGAAAGACUAAUCGAACCUUCUAGUAGCUGGUUUC